rnacentral:rRNA from 1 species
AACGAACGCUGGCGGCAGGCUUAACACAUGCAAGUCGAGCGCCCCGCAAUGGUAGCGGCAGACGUGUGAGUAACGCGUGGGAACGUACCUUUUGGUUCGUAACAACUCCGGGAAACUGGAGCUAAUACCGGAUAAGCCCUAACGGGGAAAGAUUUAUCGCCGAAAGAUCGGCCCGCGUCUGAUUAGCUAGUUUGUGAGGUAACGGCUCACCAAGGCGACGAUCAGUAGCUCGUCUGAGAGGAUGAUCAGCCACACUGGGACUGAGACACGGCCCAGACUCCUACGGGAGGCAGCAGUGGGGAAUAAUGGAAAAUGGGCGCAAGCCUGAUCCAGCCACGCCGCGUGAGUGAUGAAGGCCUUAGGGUUGUAAAGCUCUUUUGUCCGGGAAGAUAAUGACUGUACCGGAAGAAUAAGCCCCGGCUAACUUCGUG